rnacentral:rRNA from 1 species
CCUACGGGAGGCAGCAGUGGGGAAUAUUGCACAAUGGGGGAAACCCUGAUGCAGCGACGUCGCGUGAGCGAUGAAGUCUCUCGGUGUGGUAAGCUCCAUCAGCAGGGAAGAAAAUGACGGUACCUGACUAAGAAGCCCCGGCUACCUACGUGCCAGCAGCCGCGGUAAUGCGUAAGGGGCAAGCGUUAACCCGAUUUACUGGGUGUAAAGGGAGCGUAGACGGUCCUGCAAGCCAGGUGUGAAAGCCCGGGGCUCAAACCCGGGACUGCCUUUGGAACUGGAAGGCUAGAGUGUGGGAGAGGCAGGCGGAAUGCGUAGUGUAGCGGUGAAAUGCGUAGAUAUUAGGAGGAACACCAGUGGCGAAGGCGGCCUGCUGGAGGAUGACUGACGUUGAGGCUCGAAAGCGUGGGGAGCAAACAGGAUUAGAUACCCCGGUAGUC